UGGCGGCGCGCUUAACACAUGCAAGUCGAACGAGAAGCUGUAGCAAUACAGUUGCAAAGUGGCAAACGGGUGAGUAAUGCGUGGGUAAUCUACCCUAGGGUGGGGAAUAACUCCUCGAAAGGGGAGCUAAUGCCGACAUGUGCGCCACUCUCGCAAGGGAGUGAUGGAAAGCCGUACCGUGGGUGCGGCGCCCAAGGAUGAGCUCACGUCCUAUCAGCUUGUUGGCGGGGUAACGGCCCACCAAGGCUGCGACGGGUAGCUGGUCUGAGAGGACGACCAGCCACACUGGCACUGCGACACGGGCCAGACUCCUACGGGAGGCAGCAGUGAGGAAUAUUGCGCAAUGGACGACAGUCUGACGCAGCGACGCCGCGUGGGGGAUGAAGGCCUUCGGGCUGUAAACCCCUUUCAGGAGGGAAGAUGGGACGGGUAACCGUUCGGACGGUACUUCCAGAAGCAGCCACGGCUAACUCUGUGCCAGCAGCCGCGGUAAGACAGAGGUGGCAAGCGUUGUUCGGAUUUACUGGGCGUAAAGAGUGCGUAGGUGGUGAGGUAAGAUCUGUGGGAAAGACCUGGGCUUAACCCAGGAAGGUCGCAGAUGACUGCCUCGCUUGAGGACGGGAGAGGAGAGCGGAAUUCCCGGUGUAGCGGUGAAAUGCGUAGAGAUCGGGAAGAAGGCCGGUGGCGAAGGCGGCUCUCUGGAACGUUCCUGACA
rnacentral:rRNA from 1 species